rnacentral:rRNA from 1 species
CGGCGUAAAAUGUGUUUAGGAUUUCAGAACAAUAAAGUUCAACCGAAGCUAAGCCGUAAAAAGCUACAGCCAAAAUAAAAACCUCAACGAAAGUGACUUUAGCAAAUCCGAAUACACUAUAGCUAGGAUUCAAACUGGGAUUAGAUACCCCACUAUGCCUAGCCCUAAACCAAGACACUUAACCAAACCAAAGUGUCUGCCAGAGUACUACUAGCAAUAGCUUGAAACUCAAAGGACUUGACGGUGCUUCACAUCCCUCUAGAGGAACCUGUCCUAUAAUCGACGAACCCCGAUAAACCUCACCACCCCUUGCCAACACAGCCUAUAUACCGCCAUCUCCAGCAAACCUUGAAAAAGCACCACAGUAAGCACAAUUAUAAUGCAUAAAUACGUUAGGUCAAGGUGUAGCCCAUGAGGUGGGAAGAGAUGGGUUACAUUUUCUUAAAAAGAAAACCCACGGAAACUUCUGUGAAACUACAAAAGCCAAAGGAGGAUUUAGAAGUAACUUAAGAAUAGAGAGCUUAAC